rnacentral:rRNA from 1 species
UACGUAGGGUGCAAGCGUUGUCCGGAAUUAUUGGGCGUAAAGAGCUCGUAGGCGGUUUGUCACGUCGGCCGUGAAAACUCGGGGCUCAACCCCGAGCCUGCGGUCGAUACGGGCAGACUAGAGUGCUGUAGGGGAGACUGGAAUUCCUGGUGUAGCGGUGAAAUGCGCAGAUAUCAGGAGGAACACCGAUGGCGAAGGCAGAUCUCUGGGCCGUAACUGACGCUGAGGAGCGAAAGCAUGGGGAGCGAACAGG